GAUCAGAAAUGUUCAGGCGAACGGUGGUUAUAUUUGUCCGUGGACCCAAGACAUCGUUGACGGGCAAAUAUGAACACUGCAACAAGGACUGGUGUGGAUAGCGUGCUGCGCUGGUCUCGCCAACUGAAAAGAAUUCUGUGACAUUACGAGCCAACAAUGAAAACCUCAAUCCAUCCUGUCUCCACAUAUUAUCAAGUUUGUGCACUGUGGAGCUUGAAGCACUUCUCAGAAUUUCAGCACACUCGCAUUUAUUUCUUUUCCGACAGAAGAACAAUGCAAGUCUCACAUCUUGAUGAGGGUGGCGAUUUACCCUCUCACAUCUCGACGGUAAAACGUCGCAUCUGCGUACGUGUUCAGGGCCAAGAGCACGAGAACUGGCCGAAAGAAGGGAGCCGAUCCAACAAGAAUGCCGUCCGUUUUAUAUAUAUGUCAGCGCUAUCAUGCAGCGAUCACAUGGACUGUACGGUUGCGUUGCACAAGGGCUGAUGCAAACGCUCCGUGCGAACAAUGUUGCAUGUAAAAUUAGUGCAUCUAUACAAUUGCAAAAUAAACAUAUAAAGAGAGAAAACUUAUAUUCAC